rnacentral:rRNA from 1 species
UACGUAGGGGGCUAGCGUUGUCCGGAUUUAUUGGGCGUAAAGAGCGUGUAGGCGGCCAGGUAGGUCUGCUGUGAAAACUCGAGGCUCAACCUCGAGACGUCGGCGGAAACCAUCUGGCUAGAGUCCGGAAGAGGAGAGUGGAAUUCCUGGAUGUAGCGGUGAAAUGCGCAGAUAUCAGGAGGAACACCGGUGGCGAAGGCGGGUCUCUGGGCCGAUAUUGACGCUGAGGAGCGAAAGCGUGGGGAGCAAACAGG